rnacentral:rRNA from 1 species
CCGUAGGUGAACCUGCGGAAGGAUCAUUAAAGGAUGCCCCGUUUUUUGAAAUGGGUUCUAUUCCCAAACCGUGUAUACAUACCUUUGUUGCUUUGGCAGGCCGCCUUCGGGCGUCGGCUCACGCUGACCGCGCCUGCCAGAGGAUCCAAACUCGUUUGUUUAGUGAUGUCUGAGUACUAUAUAAUAGUUAAAACUUUCAACAACGGAUCUCUUGGUUCUGGCAUCGAUGAAGAACGCAGCGAAAUGCGAUAAGUAAUGUGAAUUGCAGAAUUCAGUGAAUCAUCGAAUCUUUGAACGCACAUUGCGCCCCUUGGUAUUCCGAGGGGCAUGCCUGUUCGAGCGUCAUUAUGACCACUCAAGCCUAGCUUGGUAUUGGGGUUCGCGGUCUCGCGGCUCUUAAAAUCAGUGGCGGUGCCAUCUGGCUCUAAGCGUAGUAAUUUAUCUCGCUAUUGGGUCUGGUGGUUGCUUGCCAAUAACCCCCAACUUCUAAGGUUGACCUCGGAUCAGGUAGGGAUACCCGCUGAACUUAAGCAUAUCAAUAAGCGGAGGA